rnacentral:rRNA from 1 species
UACGUAGGUGGCGAGCGUUGUCCGGAUUUACUGGGCGUAAAGAGCGCGCAGGCGGUCGUUCAAGUCGAGUGUGAAAGCCCCCGGCUCAACUGGGGAGGGUCAUUCGAUACUGAUCGACUCGAAGGCAGGAGAGGGUAGUGGAAUUCCCGGUGUAGUGGUGAAAUGCGUAGAUAUCGGGAGGAACACCAGUGGCGAAGGCGACUACCUGGCCUGUUCUUGACGCUGAGGCGCGAAAGCUAGGGGAGCAAACGGG